rnacentral:rRNA from 1 species
CCCUUAGAUGUUCUGGGCCGCACGCGUGCUACACUGAGUGGAUCAGCGGGUCAGGUUGCGCGAAAGCGUUUCCUAAUCUUUAAAUCCGCUCGUGAUGGGGAUUGACGGUUGCAAUUUUCUGUCAUGAACGAGGAAUACCUUGUAAGCGCGGGUCAUCAUCCCGCGCUGAAUACGUCCCUGCCCUUUGUACACACCGACCGUCGCUCCUACCGAUUGAGUGGUCCGGUGAGGCUUUGGGAUCUGAGCGGAAAGAGCGUUUCGCUGUUUCUGCUCGGAAAACUCAGUCGAACCUUAUCAUUUAGAGGAAGGAGAAGUCGUAACA